ensembl:lncRNA
CUGUUGAUACAGGAUUACAACAAAUAUUAAAAGAGAAUUCUGAAAUAGCACCACAAGGGAUAACUCAAAACUAUAUGGACCAGUAUCAGAAUAAAUUACUCAUAUAUACAGACGGGUCAAAACAGCCUGAGACUGGCCGCAACUGGUGCGGCUUUUUUCAUUCCCCGGUAUGAAGUAGCGGUCAAAAAAGGGUGACCGAUCAUUUAUCAGUGUACACUGUAGAACUGUUAGGAGUCCUAUUGGCACUGCAGUUUUUGGGAAAAAAUAAUCAGAACCAAGAUGUCGCUAUAGCUUCUGACAGUCUAUCAGCACCAUCAAGCAUACAGUCUGGGAAAACAUCAUGCAGACAAGACAUUGUCUACCAAAUACUUCAUCUGCUUCUCAUACUUCAUGCUAAGGGGCUGAGUGUUCCUUCUUCUGGGUUCCUGCACAUGUAGGGGUAGAAGGAAAUGAAACUGUGGAUGUACUGGCAAAGAGAUCUAUAAAGCAUGAAACAGUUGAUAUACAAGUACCAUUAAGUAGAGCAGAGAUCAAAACCAUUAUAAAGGGACAAGAGCAUAAAAUACGGCAGGAACACUGGGACACAGCUGACACCGGACGACACCUACAUACCAUACAAAAACAGUAGGCACGAGUGUGAGGCAGGGCAGGAACCCAAAGGAAGAGAUGAUAGUACACGUCUUAGAAUAGGUCAUGCUGGAUUAAAUCUAGCAUUAAACAGAAUAGGAAAACACCCCACUGGACUCUGCACACACUGCAGUACACAAGAGACGGUGAAACACGUACUGUUAGACUGCAAAAGGUAUGAGGAGGAAAGAACUGAGCUAGAGAUGCAGAUUGGAAAACAAAACAUGACACUAGAGAACUUGCUGGGGAAAACAUCUGGGGAAAUGCACCGCCCCCUAAUGAACUAUCUAAAAAUACUGGGAUAAGUGAGAGACUUUAAUAACUUAGCAUGAAUACCUAGUAUAUAGUUUGUUUUUUAUUUAUGUAUUAUUAUUAUUAUUAUUAUUAUUAUUAUUAUUAUUAUUAUUAUCAUCCUGCCAAUCUGCCGGCCACACUCCAGUCCCGUAGGUGGCGGUAAUGCACCUUCAGGUGGUAAAAACAAACAGAAGACGAAGAAGCGCCCCUUUCUGCUUUUCUCUCCAGAGAUGUGAGCAUGCUUUUUUGUGUCUCUAGUGUUAAUCUCGAUUAAUCUAUCUAUUUUACAAGUAAUUAAAAUUGUAAAACUUGUACAUCGGAUUUAAGAAACAGCUUUUCUAUCAUUUUUACGGUAUAUCUUUUAUAUACCUUAUAUAUAUCUUUUAUAUUUUUCUGUUUAGUACAGAGUCAUUUUCCUGCGCGUGAGUUUUGAGAGGUUCCCUGCAGUUUCUAAAACUAUGUGUGUUAACCCCCUGGGGACGUGAGAAUCGCCGGCGAGCUCCACCAUGGUCAGACUCCCUUGUAUCUUCUUUCUCACGUAAUAUCAUGACGGGGUUUUAACAUACGAGCAUGACUAAAAGCUGGUGAGAAUCUGUAGCGUGUCAGCUUUCAGGCGUGCCUACACAUAGAUCAUAUGAACAUCUGUAAAUCUUUCAAUUGUAGAAAAACUCCAGUAUGUCCCUGUAGUGAGAGAGAACUACGUAUCCGUGCUUCCACCUGUUUGCAUAUUAAUAACAUGUUAAUGUCAGUCAGUCAGGGGGAGGAGUGAAGCUACGAGUGUGUGCUGGUGAGAAACAGGAGUUUCUCUCUGAUGGGUGGAGGAACAUUCAGGAAGAGUGAAGCUACGAGUGUGUGCUGGUGAG